UACGUAGGAGACGAGCGUUGUCCGGAAUCACUGGGCGUAAAGCGCGUGUAGGCGGGUCCGCAAGUCUGCUGUGAAAACUCCUGGCUUAACCGGGAGAGGUCGGUGGAAACUGCGAACCUGGAGGACGGUAGAGGCUGGUGGAAUUCCCGGUGUAGUGGUGAAAUGCGUAGAGAUCGGGAGGAACACCUGUGGCGAAGGCGGCCAGCUGGGCCGGACCUGACGCUGAGACGCGAAGGCGUGGGGAGCGAACGGG
rnacentral:rRNA from 1 species